AACCCACGGGUGCAGGUCCCUAGGAGCACCAAUCAGCACCAAGGUCAGGUGACUAAAAGGGGAUACGCCCCGCCCCCCCCCGGGAGACAACGAGCGGCACAGCUGCGGCUCAUGAGGCUGAUGAAGGUGGGCCCCACUAUAAAGGACCAACCGUUCCAACAGCCAGGGAGAACUAGACUGAGGAGACCAAGUGCUGGACCGUCGAGCGGGACCGAGGGACCCAAACCCUCCAAAGAGGAAGAACUUACUUUGGCUUUUUUUUCUUUUUGUUUGGACGUUUAGAAAUAAAUCAAACCUUUUUUGUGCAACCA